UUAGGCCUGAAUCUUCUCUUUCUCUUAUUGAAUACAUGGUUUCUCUUCCCAAAUAGACAUCAACGUCUUCUUUUCCUAUUCAAGAAAAAAUAUAGACCCCUUUCACCAUGGGUAAAGUUUGCUUCUCCAUUCUUGUGUCAUGGCAAUAAAAAUCACGUGAAAAUUUGAAUAGAUCCAAGAUCCAAUGUUGUGUUCAAAUUGAAUGACCAAGCCUGCUCAAGAAAGAGAAGCCUAGUUUUUCUAUAUAAAUACUUUUGUUUGGAGUCUAUUCUGGGGGGGUGGGGUGGGGGGGUUGGGAGCCACUGCUCCCACACCUCUUGAAAUUAUUAUUUCUCCUUCUUUGCUAAAAAACUAUUUUAUUUCUCAGCUUUUGUUUCACAUGUUUGGUUCCCUCUCAAUAGAGACUUUAGGUUUUGAGUAUUCUCUGAGUUCGUUGUUAUUUAAUAUCAAGUCUAGACCGGUGACAAAGCACCCAUGUUCACUUCGACGCAAUAGGUACCAGUUCAGUUGUAGUCCAUAUAUCAUGAUCAAAUAGUUGCAGAUUCCAACCAAUAAAUGAUGAGUCCUCCUACUUCAGGCACUUCAGUUAGAUGUUAUUUACGUACUUUAAUUUCUUACUCCUAUGUAUUGAUUAGUGGUAGUUGGAGUAACAUCCCAGCUAUCUAUAGUUAGUAUAGUAGAGGCUUCACAAAUGUCAGUCAGAGUUAGUUAUGUAAUUUUAGUUCUGUUUAUUAGUUUUAUCAGAAUAUAAAAUUGUAUCUGUGUAGUAUUUUUUCUAGAUUCCAUCAUAAUUAUAUUUCCACACAGUAA